GAAAAACAUUAGCGCAUUUGGUAAGUGGUCGAUCAGAGGACAAUGAGACUGAGGCGCGUGCACGAGGCGACACCAUGUUUUUAUUUUCUCUGUCUUUGAACGUAAACAGGGUUUCCCGGUCGGAAUAUUAUCGCUUUUUUACGAGAAAAAUAGCAUAAAAAUUGAUUUUAAACAGCGGUUGACAUGCUUCGAAGUACGGUAAUGGAAUAUUUAGAAUUUUUUUGUCACGAAACGCGUCGGGCGCGUCACCCUUCGUCACCCUUCGGAUAGUGUCUUGAACGCACGAACAAAACAGAGGAUAUUUGAACAUAACUAUGGAUUAUUUUGAACCAAACCAACAUUUGUUAUUGAAGUAGAAGUCCUGGGAGUGCAUUCUGACGAAGAACAGCAAAGGACCUGAGCCCUAGGACCAUGCCUCAGGACUACCUGGUAUGAUGACUCCUUGCUGUCCCCAGUCCACCUGGCCGUGUUGCUGCUCCAGUUUCAGCUGUUCUGCCUGCGGCUAUGGAACCCUGACCUGUUCACCGGACGUGCUUGUUGCACCCUCGACAACUACUAUGAUUAUUAUUAUUUGACCAUGCUGGUCAUUUAUGAACAUUUUAACAUCUUGACCAUGUUCUGUUAUAAUAUCCACCCUGCACAGCCAGAAGAGGACUGGCCACCCCUCAUAGCCUGGUUCCUCUCUAGGUUUCUUCCUAGGUUUUUGGCCUUUCUAGGGAGUUUUUCCUAGGGAGUUUUUCCUAGCCACCAUGCUUCUUUCACAUGCAUU
rnacentral:lncRNA from 1 species